UACGUAGGUGGCAAGCGUUGUCCGGAAUUAUUGGGCGUAAAGCGCGCGUAGGUGGUCCCGUAAGUCCGCUGUGAAAGUCAAAGGCUCAACCUUUGAAAGCCGGUGGAUACUGUGGGACUAGAGUACGGAAGAGGCGAGUGGAAUUCCUGGUGUAGCGGUGGAAUGCGCAGAUAUCAGGAGGAACACCAAUAGCGAAGGCAGCUCGCUGGGACGUUACUGACACUGAGGCGCGAAAGCGUGGGGAGCGAACAGG
rnacentral:rRNA from 1 species